UAUGGCAGCACAUAGACUAAAAUUCUCUGCAUACUAAACGAUACAGAGAUUAGUAUGGCUCCUGCACAAGGAUGACAUGCAAAUUCGUGAAGCGUUCCAUAUUUUU